GACGAACGCUGGCGGCGUGCUUAACACAUGCAAGUCGAACGGAAAGGCCCUGCUUUUGUGGGGUGCUCGAGUAGCGAACGGGUGAGUAACACGUGAGUAACCUGCCCUUGACUUUGGGAUAACUUCAGGAAACUGGGGCUAAUACCGGAUAGGAGCUCCUGCUGCAUGGUGGGGGUUGGAAAGUUUCGGCGGUUGGGGAUGGACUCGCGGCUUAUCAGCUUGUUGGUGGGGUAGUGGCUUACCAAGGCUUUGACGGGUAGCCGUCCUGAGAGGGUGACCGGCCAAAUUGGGACGGAGAUGCGGCCCAGACUACUACGGGAGGCAGCAGUGGGGAAGAUAGCACAAUGGGAGGAAGCCUAAUGCAGCAAAGCCGCGUGCGGGAUGACGGCCUUCGGGUUGUAAACCGCUUUCGCCUGUGACGAAGCGUGAGUGACGGUAAUGGGUAAAGAAGCACCGGCUAACUCCGUG
rnacentral:rRNA from 1 species